rnacentral:rRNA from 1 species
UAGGAUAGAGGCCUACCAUGGUGGUAACGGGUAACGGGGUGUUAGGGCACGACACCGGAGAGGGAGCCUGAGAAACGGCUACCACAUCCAAGGAUGGCAGCAGGCGCGCAAAUUACCCAAUCCCGACACGGGGAGGUAGUGACAAUAAAUAACAAUACGGGGCUCUUUCGGAUCUCGUAAUUGGAAUGAGUACAAUUUAAAUCUCUUAACGAGGAACAAUUGGAGGGCAAGUCUGGUGCCAGCAGCCGCGGUAAUUCCAGCUCCAAUAGCGUAUAUUAAAGUUGUUGCAGUUAAAAAGCUCGUAGUUGAAUUUCGGGGUUAGUAGGUUGGUCAUGCCUCUGGUAUGUACUGGUCUCACUGAUUCCUCCUUCCUUAUGAACCGUAAUGCCAUUAAUUUGGUGUUGCGGGGAAUUUGGACUGUUACUUUGAAAAAAUUAGAGUGUUUAAAGCAAGCUAACGCUUGAAUACAUUAGCAUGGAAUAAUGAAAUAGGACGUUCGAUCUUAUUUUGUUGGUUUCUAGGAUUGACGUAAUGAUUAAUAGGGAUAGUUGGGGGCAUUAGUAUUCAAUUGUCAGAGGUGAAAUUCUUGGAUUUAUUGAAGACUAACUACUGCGAAAGCAUUUGCCAAGGAUGUUUUCAUUAAUCAAGAACGAAAGUUAGGGGAUCGAAGACGAUCAGAUACCGUCGUAGUCUUAACCAUAAACUAUGCCGACUAGG